rnacentral:lncRNA from 1 species
UUUAUGCGUGCGAAGUAGUACAAAGUUUAUUACAAUUUUUUUUAAAAAUCUAGUACAAUUUUAAAGAUCGUGUAUAUUCUUCGCAAUUAGUAAAGGAUAGUAGAUGUUAAUGAGAUUUUGUAUUAUUUUUAAAAUUGUACAAGAAAGUCGUAGAGGCAUCACCAAAUAAUUUUUCUGAAAGUAGUACAAUUUUUUCCUAAUUUUCCUUUACAAGAGAAAUACAAGAUUUAAUAAAUAUAAGACAAUAAUCAUCUUAGUACAAUUAUUUGUACUAAAUUCAAUUUAUGCGUAGCCAAAAGAUUUAUAGAAUCUCUUAAAUGUGGUUUAAUAUUUAGUACAAAUUUUCAUUUAUAUUUAGUACAAUUUUAAAAUAAGAAUCACUCGGCUCGUAAAACAUGAAAUAUGUUUAUUGAAUUUUGUACAAAUAAAAAAUUGUACUGAGGCCACCCCUAAAGUAUUUUUAAAUACAAUAUCGCUAAUAUUCUGUGAGAAAUAGUACAAAUAAUAUUUAAAAAUUUGUACUAGAAAUACCUUAUGCGUGGCCAAAGGCCUAGCAUCAUCACACAAUUUUUCUGAAAUUUAGGUUAUGAAUUAUAGCUAAUGAACUAUAGCUAUCUCUUAUAAUUAAGGAGAUAUUUCAAAAAAACAUUUGGUCCUUCGAGCCGGAUUUUGCACUUAAAUCCCCAUAUCUCAGGAACUAAUGAAGAUAAAUAUAAAGUGUUUGGGUUCAUUUUAAUCAGCAUAAGAUUCUUUAUUUAAUUAGUGAAAAUUUUGAACAAUUUAAAAAAAAAAUAAGAUUUUGAAGUGGCUGGAAAAUAUAUUUUAUUUAAAUAGGUUAAUAGAGCUUUCGUUCCCGAUUCCAUUAAUACCAAACACUCUAUAGGUAUCUCUAGUAGUUUGCGAGAUAUUUGAGAAAAACAUUUGGUCCUUCGAGCCGGAUUUUGCACUUUCAGGCUCUAUAUCUUGAGAACUAUUAAAGAUAAAUAUAGAGUGUUUGGGUUCAUUUUAAUCAGCAUGGAAUUGUCCAUCCAAUCAACAAAAAAAACAAAUAUUUUUUUAAUUUUAAAUAUCUGGACCUAAUUUUGAGUGUCUAAAAAAUUAUUUUCAUGUCAACAGAUCAAUGCGGCUUUUUCUCCCAAUUACAUUGAUACCAAACACUCUAUAGCUAUCUCUUAUAGUUAAGGAGAGAUUUUCAAAAAAACAUUUGGUCCUUCGAGCCGGAUUUUGCACUUAAAUCCCCAUAUCUCAGGAACUAAUGAAGAUAAAUAUAAAGUGUUUGUGUUCAUUUUAAUCAGCAUAAGAUUCUUUAUUUAAUUAGUGAAAAUUUUGAACAAUUUAAAAAAAUAAUAAGAUUUUGAAGUGGCUGGAAAAUAUAUUUUAUUUAAAUAGGUUAAUAGAGCUUUCAUUAGCGAUUCCAUUAAUACCAAACACUCUAUAGGUAUCUCUAGUAGUUUGCGAGAUAUUUGAGAAAAACAUUUGGUCCUUCGAGCCGGAUUUUGCACUUUCAGGCUCUAUAUCUUGAGAACUAUUACAGAUAAAUAUAGAGUGUUUGGGUUCAUUUUAAUCAGCAUAGAAUUGUCCAUCCAAUCAACAAAAAAAAAAAUAUUUUUUUAAUUUUAAAUAUCUGGACCUAAUUUUGAGUGUCUAAAAAAUUAUUUUCAUGUCAACAGAUCAAUGCGGCUUUUUCUCCCAAUUACAUUGAUACCAAACACUCUAUAGCUAUCUCUUAUAGUUAAGGAGAGAUUUUCAAAAAAACAUUUGGUCCUUCGAGCCGGAUUUUGCACUUAAAUCCCCAUAUCUCAGGAACUAAUGAAGAUAAAUAUAAAGUGUUUGGAUUCAUUUUAAUCAGCAUAAGAUUCUUUAUUUAAUUAGUGAAAAUUUUGAACAAUUAAAAAAAAAUUAAAAUUUUGAAGUGACUGGAAAAUAUAUUUUAUUUAAAUAGGUUAAUAGAGCUUUCGUUCCCGAUUCCAUUAAUACCAAACACUCUAUAGGUAUCUCUAGUAGUUUGCGAGAUAUUUGAGAAAAACAUUUGGUCCUUCGAGCCGAAUUUUGCACUUUCAGGCUCUAUAUCUUGAGAACUAUUAAAGAUAAAUAUAGAGUGUUUGGGUUCAUUUUAAUCAGCAUAGAAUUGUCCAUCCAAUCAACAAAAAAAAACAAAUAUUUUUUUAAUUUUAAAUAUCUGGACCUAAUUUUGAGUGUCUAAAAAAUUAUUUUCAUGUCAACAGAUCAAUGCGGCUUUUUCUCCCAAUUACAUUGAUACCAAACACUUUAUAGCUAUCUCUUAUAGUUAAGGAGAUAUUUUUAAAAAAACAUUUGGUCCUUCGAGCCGGAUUUUGCACUUAAAUCCCCAUAUCUCAGGAACUAAUGAAGAUAAAUAUAAAGUGUUUGAGUUCAUUUUAAUCAGCAUAAGAUUCUUUAUUUAAUUAGUGAAAAUUUUGAACAAUUAAAAAAAAAUUAAAAUUUUGAAGUGGCUGGAAAAUAUAUUUUAAUUAAAUAGGUUAAUAGAGCUUUCGUUCCCGAUUCCAUUAAUACCAAACACUCUAUAGGUAUCUCUAGUAGUUUGCGAGAUAUUUGAGAAAAACAUUUGGUCCUUCGAGCCGGAUUUUGCACUUUCAGGCUCUAUAUCUUGAGAACUAUUACAGAUAAAUAUAGAGUGUUUGGGUUCAUUUUAAUCAGCAUAGAAUUGUCCAUCCAAUCAACAAAAAAAAAAUAUUUUUUUAAUUUUAAAUAUCUGGACCUAAUUUUGAGUGUCUAAAAAAUUAUUUUCAUGUCAACAGAUCAAUGCGGCUUUUUCUCCCAAUUACAUUGAUACCAAACACUCUAUAGCUAUCUCUUAUAGUUAAGGAGAGAUUUUCAAAAAAACAUUUGGUCCUUCGAGCCGGAUUUUGCACUUAAAUCCCCAUAUCUCAGGAACUAAUGAAGAUAAAUAUAAAGUGUUUGGAUUCAUUUUAAUCAGCAUAAGAUUCUUUAUUUAAUUAGUGAAAAUUUUGAACAAUUAAAAAAAAAUUAAAAUUUUGAAGUGACUGGAAAAUAUAUUUUAUUUAAAUAGGUUAAUAGAGCUUUCGUUCCCGAUUCCAUUAAUACCAAACACUCUAUAGGUAUCUCUAGUAGUUUGCGAGAUAUUUGAGAAAAACAUUUGGUCCUUCGAGCCGAAUUUUGCACUUUCAGGCUCUAUAUCUUGAGAACUAUUAAAGAUAAAUAUAGAGUGUUUGGGUUCAUUUUAAUCAGCAUAGAAUUGUCCAUCCAAUCAACAAAAAAAAACAAAUAUUUUUUUAAUUUUAAAUAUCUGGACCUAAUUUUGAGUGUCUAAAAAAUUAUUUUCAUGUCAACAGAUCAAUGCGGCUUUUUCUCCCAAUUACAUUGAUACCGAACACUCUAUAGCUAUCUCUUAUAGUUAAGGAGAUAUUUUUAAAAAAACAUUUGGUCCUUCGAGCCGGAUUUUGCACUUAAAUCCCCAUAUCUCAGGAACUAAUGAAGAUAAAUAUAAAGUGUUUGAGUUCAUUUUAAUCAGCAUAAGAUUCUUUAUUUAAUUAGUGAAAAUUUUGAACAAUUAAAAAAAAAUUAAAAUUUUGAAGUGGCUGGAAAAUAUAUUUUAAUUAAAUAGGUUAAUAGAGCUUUCGUUCCCGAUUCCAUUAAUACCAAACACUCUAUAGGUAUCUCUAGUAGUUUGCGAGAUAUUUGAGAAAAACAUUUGGUCCUUCGAGCCGGAUUUUGCACUUUCAGGCUCUAUAUCUUGAGAACUAUUACAGAUAAAUAUAGAGUGUUUGGGUUCAUUUUAAUCAGCAUAGAAUUGUCCAUCCAAUCAACAAAAAAAAAAAUAUUUUUUUAAUUUUAAAUAUCUGGACCUAAUUUUGAGUGUCUAAAAAAUUAUUUUCAUGUCAACAGAUCAAUGCGGCUUUUUCUCCCAAUUACAUUGAUACCGAACACUCUAUAGCUAUCUCUUAUAGUUAAGGAGAUAUUUUUAAAAAAACAUUUGGUCCUUCGAGCCGGAUUUUGCACUUAAAUCCCCAUAUCUCAGGAACUAAUGAAGAUAAAUAUAAAGUGUUUGAGUUCAUUUUAAUCAGCAUAAGAUUCUUUAUUUAAUUAGUGAAAAUUUUGAACAAUUAAAAAAAAAUUAAAAUUUUGAAGUGACUGGAAAAUAUAUUUUAUUUAAAUAGGUUAAUAGAGCUUUCGUUCCCGAUUCCAUUAAUACCAAACACUCUAUAGGUAUCUCUAGUAGUUUGCGAGAUAUUUGAGAAAAACAUUUGGUCCUUCGAGCCGGAUUUUGCACUUUCAGGCUCUAUAUCUUGAGAACUAUUAAAGAUAAAUAUAGAGUGUUUGGGUUCAUUUUAAUCAGCAUGGAAUUGUCCAUCCAAUCAACAAAAAAAAACAAAUAUUUUUUUAAUUUUAAAUAUCUGGACCUAAUUUUGAGUGUCUAAAAAAUUAUUUUCAUGUCAACAGAUCAAUGCGGCUUUUUCUCCCAAUUACAUUGAUACCAAACACUCUAUAGCUAUCUCUUAUAGUUAAGGAGAGAUUUUCAAAAAAACAUUUGGUCCUUCGAGCGGGAUUUUGCACUUAAAUCCCCAUAUCUCAGGAACUAAUGAAGAUAAAUAUAAAGUGUUUGGGUUCAUUUUAAUCAGCAUAAGAUUCUUUAUUUAAUUAGUGAAAAUUUUGAACAAUUUAAAAAAAAAUAAGAUUUUGAAGUGGCUGGAAAAUGUAUUUUAUUUAAAUAAGUUAAUAGAGCUUUCGUUCCCGAUUCCAUUAAUACCAAACA